UGCUUGUAUGUAAGGAUGACGAGAGCCUAUGAUGUUUUGGAUCCAAUUUAUAAAUCAAAAGAAGAAGCAACGAAGAAAGAAGAGCGUACGGAGAUGAAGUGAUAAAGUAGAAUAGAAGAGAUGAGAUAUUUGUUUAGAUGUGAGAAGCAAGAUGAG
rnacentral:sRNA from 1 species